UUGCCCUUCUCCGACCCUUACUGCCCAACUUGAGAGCGGAUAGCUAAUGCGUUCCGCUUUUUGAACAGGGUUCUAUGGUCGGUCCGCGACCCCUGGAUGCCGAAGGCGUCCUUGGGGUGAUCUCGUAGUUCCUACGGGGUGGAGACGAUGGGGUCGGUCCAUGGAUUUUCUUUCCUUUUGCCGCAUUUCGUUCAAAGGGUUGAAGGGAGAUAGUGCAUCAAGCUGUUCGCAAGGGCCAACUUGAUCCUCUUCCCCAGGAUCCCAGAUGAGGAAACCCUAGGAGAGCCGCCGACUCCAA